ensembl:lncRNA
GGGAACACUGUGCACGGCAGGGGGAGAUGGUGUGGAGCUGGAAGGUGUAUCCUGCUGCUGCUGCCCGCAUGGGAUGGGGUUUGUGGGUGGUCAAAGUGCCCCCAGCCCCAGCGAGAGGAGCGUCAGAGAUCAAUGUCCAACCUGGCAUCAGCUGCAGCAACUUCAGGCGUGGCCGUUGCAGAGAGAGCCCAACCGAUGCUGCUGCUCUCACCAGCAGGUGGAACGGUGGAGGUGCAAAAUGGGAGGAGGAGCCCCUCCUGUCAGCCCCACUGGGGUCCGUGCACGUGGCUGAGUGCUCAGCGUGCUAAAACUGGGCCUUAUUGCAGCUUCAGAGCCUAUAGUAAUAAUAAUAAUAACUGAGACUUCGUGGUUUGGGUUGGGGGGCGAUGAGGAAAGGGUGUCAUGCUUAAUUUUUGCCUUUGCUUUUUUAAUGUUUGGAAUGAAACUCGGCCCCCCCAGCCCCGGUGCCCUGAGCUUCUCCCAGGCUGUGCCCUGGCUCACCACUGCAUGACCAGCUCACGGAUGGAACAAGGAUUUGGAGACGGGACCGGGCUGUGCCUCGCACUCGUGGUCACUCCUCCAGCCCUGCGUGGGGCAGAUGGCAUCUCCCUAAAGAGUGAAUGGAGGUCUUCUAGGGAUGCUCUCCCUGGCACGUUCCCAACUCGGGAUGCAGCCGCGGUACGUUUGGGUCUAAGAGGACCAUCUCCUGACUCGGGGGCUGCCUCGGCGAGCCUGAAAGAGCCCCGCAGCUCCAUCUGCCCCGGGGACAAUCCCAGUGCUUAUGGGAACCACAUGGCCGACAUCUGGGGGAACAGGAAACGGCAGCCAGCGUCGUCCCAGCAACGGCGCAUCCCGCUGCCCUCACCCGCAGCGUGACGGCCAUGGGAUCGGCUGCUCGGGGAACGCGAAGCACAAGGCCACGGUGACUGAUUGAUGGGCCGGGCUCACCGGGGAGGGAUAUGAUUAAUAAGUGUUAUGGCCCCUUUGUUCCCGCUGCGCGGGCUGUCAGUGCCGCUUAGCUCUGACGGACGCUUUGAUGACUCUAUGGCCGUGAGCGAACCGCCGCCGUGAUGGAUCUCUGCCAGCAGAAUGAAAUCUGCUCCGGGCCCGGUCCUCUCUUCCCCCAGCACAAUAGUGAGGCCGGGCUGCAUUGUGAGGGCUCUUCCCAUCGCAUCGCCCCCAUCCCUUCCUUAUAGGAUGGACGGCGGUCGUUCCUUCCCUAACACAGAGGAGGA